rnacentral:rRNA from 1 species
UACAGAGGGUGCAAGCGUUAAUCGGAAUUACUGGGCGUAAAGCGAGCGUAGUCGGUUAUUUAAGUCGGAUGUGAAAUCCCCGGGCUCAACCUGGGAAUUGCAUUCGAUACUGGAUAGCUAGAGUUCGGCAGAGGGAAGCGGAAUUUCUGGUGUAGCGGUGAAAUGCGUAGAUAUCAGAAGGAACAUCAGUGGCGAAAGCGGCUUCCUGGACCAGAACUGACGAUCAGGCUCGAAAGCGUGGGGAGCAACAGG